rnacentral:rRNA from 1 species
AAUGGGGGAAACCCUGAUGGUGCGACGCCGCGUGGGGGAUAAGGUCUUCGGAUUGUAAACCCCUGUCAUGUGGGACAUUAAAAGAUAGUACCACAAGAGGAAGAGACGGCUAACUCUGUGCCAGCAGCCGCGGUAAUACAGAGGUCUCAAGCGUUGUUCGGAAUCACUGGGCGUAAAGCGUGCGUAGGCGGUUUCGUAAGUCAUGUGUGAAAGGCGGGGGCUCAACCCCCGGACUGCACAUGAUACUGCGAGACUAGAGUAAUGGAGGGGGAACCGGAAUUC